rnacentral:rRNA from 1 species
AACGCUGGCGGCGUGCUUAACACAUGCAAGUCGAACGAAGCAUCCCUCCCGAAGAAGCGGACGUGCUUGCACAGAAGUGGAUUCAUUUGGGAUGACUUAGUGGCGGACGGGUGAGUAACGCGUGGGCAACCUGCCCCAUAGAGGGGGACAACAGUUAGAAAUGACUGCUAACACCGCAUAGUAAUGCAGAUCCGCAUGCUUCUGCAUUGAAAGCUUUUUGCGCUAUGGGAUGGGCCCGCGUUUGAUUAGCUAGUUGGUGAGGUAACGGCCCACCAAGGCGACGAUCAAUAGCCGGCUUGAGAGAGUGAACGGCCACAUUGGGACUGAGACACGGCCCAAACUCCUACGGGAGGCAGCAGUGGGGAAUAUUGCACAAUGGGGGAAACCCUGAUGCAAGCGACGCCGCGUGAGUGAAUGAAGUAUUUCGGUAUGUAAAGCUCUAUCAGCAGGAAAGGUAAUGACGGUACCUGACUAAGAAGCCCCGGCUAACUACGUGCCAGCCGCUGC